CGUGUCUCUAGUGUCAGCAGCCGCGGUAAAACGUAGGGUGCAAGCGUUGUCCGGAAUUACUGGGUGUAAAGGGAGCGCAGGCGGGAAGACAAGUUGGAAGUGAAAACCAUGGGCUCAACCCAUGAAUUGCUUUCAAAAACUGUUUUUCUUGAGUAGUGCAGAGGUAGAUGGAAUUCCCGGUGUAGCGGUGGAAUGCGUAGAUAUCGGGAGGAACACCAGUGGCGAAGGCGGUCUACUGGGCACCAACUGACGCUGAGGCUCGAAAAGCAUGGGUAGCAAACAGGAUUAGAUACCCUGGUAGUCCAUGCCGUAAACGAUGAUUACUAGGUGUUGGGGGA
rnacentral:rRNA from 1 species